rnacentral:rRNA from 1 species
CCUACGGGAGGCAGCAGUGGGGAAUAUUGGGCAAUGGGCGCAAGCCUGACCCAGCAACGCCGCGUGAAGGAAGAAGGCCCUCGGGUUGUAAACUUCUUUUUUCAGGGACGCAGAAAGUGACGGUACCUGACGAAUAAGCCACGCCUAACUACGUGCCAUCAGCCGCGGUAAUACGUAGGUGGCAAGCAUUAUCCGGAUUUACUGGGUGUAAAGGGUGUGUAGGGGGGACUGCAAGUCAGAUGUGAAAUUCCAGGGCUCAAACCUGGAACUGCAGUUGAAACUGUAGUUCUUGAGUGAUGGAGAGGCAGGCGGAAUGCCGGGUGUAGCGGUGAAAUGCGUAGAUAUAAGGAAGAACACCAGUGGCGAAGGCAGCCUGCUGGACAUUAACUGACGCUGAGGCGCGAAAGCGUGGGGAGCAAACAGGAUUAGAUACCCCUGUAGUC